rnacentral:rRNA from 1 species
GGACUACCGGGGUAUCUAAUCCUGUUCGCUCCCCGCGCUUUCGUGCCUGAGCGUCAGGCGUCGGCCAGGACGCUGCCUUCGCCGUUGGUGUUCUUCCGGAUCUCUAUGCAUUUCACCGCUCCACCCGGAAUUCCACGUCCCUCUCCGAGCCUCAAGCGACCCAGUCUUCACGGCCCUCUCCCAGGUAAGCCAGGAGCUUUCACCGCAAACUGAGGCCGCCGCCUGCGCACCCUUUACGCCCAGUAACUCCGGACAACGCUCGCCUCCUACGUAUUACCGCGGCGGCUGGCAC